UCGAUUGUUUGAUCCUGGCUCAGAAUCAACGCUGGCGGCGUGCCUCAGACAUGCAAGUCGAACGAUUAAACUUUCCUUCGGGAAAGAUAUAAAGUGGCGCACGGGUGAGUAACACGUAAGUAAUCUACCUUCGAGUGGGGAAUAACGUCCGGAAACGGACGCUAAUACCGCAUAACGCAGCGGCACCUAAUGGUGACAGUUGUUAAAGGAGCAAUUCGCUUGAAGAGGAGCUUGCGGCAGAUUAGCUAGUUGGUAAGGUAAUGGCUUACCAAGGCUUCGAUCUGUAUCCGGUCUAAGAGGACGGUCGGACACACUGACACUGAAUAACGGGUCAGACUCCUACGGGAGGCAGCAGUCGGGAAUUUUGGGCAAUGGGCGAAAGCCUGACCCAGCAACGCCGCGUGAAGGAUGAAGUAUUUCGGUAUGUAAACUUCGAAAGAAUGGGAAGAACUCAAUGACGGUACCAUUUAUAAGCUCCGGCUAACUACGUGCCAGCAGCCGCGGUAAUACGUAGGGAGCAAGCGUUUGUUCGGAUUUACUGGGCGUAAAGGGCGCGUACGCGGCAGAUCAAGUCAGUUGUGAAAUCUCUGAGCUUAACUCAGAACUGUCAA
rnacentral:rRNA from 1 species